AUUGAACGCUGGCGGCAUGCCUUACACAUGCAAGUCGAACGGUAACGGGCCUUCGGGUGCCGACGAGUGGCGAACGGGUGAGUAAUACAUCGGAACGUGCACGAUCGUGGGGGAUAACGAGGCGAAAGCUUUGCUAAUACCGCAUACGAUCUACGGAUGAAAGCAGGGGACCGCAAGGCCUUGCGCGGACGGAGCGGCCGAUGGCAGAUUAGGUAGUUGGUGGGAUAAAAGCUUACCAAGCCGACGAUCUGUAGCUGGUCUGAGAGGAUGAUCAGCCACACUGGGACUGAGACACGGCCCAGACUCCUACGGGAGGCAGCAGUGGGGAAUUUUGGACAAUGGGCGCAAGCCUGAUCCAGCCAUGCCGCGUGCAGGAUGAAGGCCUUCGGGUUGUAAACUGCUUUUGUACGGAACGAAAAGCCUUCUUUUAAUACAGGAGGGUCAUGACGGUACCGUAAGAAUAAGCACCGGCUAACUACGU
rnacentral:rRNA from 1 species